rnacentral:misc_RNA from 1 species
AAUGAAGAACGUAGCGAAAUGCGAUAAGUAAUGUGAAUUGCAGAAUUCAGUGAAUCAUCGAAUCUUUGAACGCACCUUGCGCCCUUUGGCCAUUCCGAAGGGCAUGCCUGUUUGAGUAUCAUGAACACCUCAACUCUUUAUGGUUUUCCAUGAUGAGCUUGGACUCUGGGGGUUUUGCUGGCUCACAGUCGGCUCCUCUAAAAUGAAUCAGCUUACCAGUGUUUGGUGGGUAUCAUGGGUGUGAUAACUAUCUACGCUUGUGGUUUUUCCACCAGGUAACCUUCAGCAGUGGAGGUUCGCUGGAGCUCAUAGAUGUCUCUCCUCAGUGAGGACAGCCCUUUGAAUGUUUGAUCUCAAAUCAGGUAGGACUACCCGCUGAACUUAAGCAUAUCAAUAAGCGGAGGA